rnacentral:misc_RNA from 1 species
AGCAGUGUAUAGCGUCGGUGCGCCGCCCAGCGGCAUCGAUCGCCGUUUUGCUUUUUCCCGCCGCUUAAACGAAACGAGGCGCCUUUCAAACCCUGCGCCAGACGCCCCAGUGUUGGUGGUUGGAACGUGAAGCUGCUGCGCGAGCCGGAACACGGUGUACCGGAACGCGCGCGCGGUUCGUCGUUGGUAGCUCUUCUUCACGCUUCCGGAGUCUUCAUAAAGCACACGCACCUGUCUUCUGCUCCACUUCUUCACGCUGCCUGGUUCUUCAGUUGGUACACGUCUGUCAUUUGAUUCUGUCCUGUACGCUUCUUGGGUCCGUCUUGCACCCGCCGGCCGUAGUUAGGCAUGUGUCGUCUGGUGUGGCAACAUCCAGUGAGAGUCACGUCUUCAGCAGAAGGCUUAGUGUCUGUCUUCUGCUACUUGUAAUUUCGAACUUUAGCGGGUCGUCUACCCUGGAGCUCAAGCCAGAAGCCCGACUCCCAAGUUUUUACGUACUCGCAAGAUUCGGAACUUCGUUUGCUGCACCUGCUCUUCGGAACAAAACGUACUGUUCCCUACGCCACCAUCCGCUCGAAAACUUCGUCGAACUGUCGUCCGGGCGUGAAACCUCCCACGUCAUCGGCUGCUGUGCGGACUAAAGUGACAAUGGCAUGUUCUCACACGACGGCUUAGCGUCGUCAGUUCACAGUGAAGUGUUAUCGACCGCUCUGAAACUUAACCCAGCGUGUCCCGUAUGGCGUGCUGCUUACUCUCAGGACGUUAAAACUUUGAUAUCGUUUGUAACACCUGAAACUCUUGUGCAACGGCCUUUUCGUCGGCAUUGGAACUUUAAACGUUACUGUCGCCUUGACGUGAAACCUGCUGCGUCAUCCUCUUCACCUCAUCGCGGAACUGUUCCAGGAAGAUGUAAUCUGUCAGUUUAUUUGUCUGCCCUUUUCGUCAAUGUCAUGAUGAAUGCAAGCGCAAGCACGCGACUUUGUCGUUGCAACUGAAGCCUCCGGUCAUUGGUCAACCACGCAGUGAAUCGACCAGGAAAUCGAGUCGACGAAUGUGUUUUGGCCUGCAUAUUGGUUAUUCCUCUUUCGCGACGAGUGUUACCGCUGUUAUCUAUCAGCAGGUGACACCAAAAGUAGUCGCCCUACUAAGAUACAUCGACAACUCAAGUUUUUAUCCGACAUUCUUUUCCUGAGUCAAUACAGAAACCUGCGCAUCGACUCGCAGCAGAUGACGAAGUGUUGCUCUUCUGGCAAUCCCGUACUAAUGCUUGUUUCUGGCCACUUGCUAGUGUGACGUCACGGAGUAAACGCAUAAACUUUAUCUUACUGGGCAGCAGUGCUGACGUAUGCUUCAACGAAACUUGUCAAAGUAACUGUGAUAUUCACGACUGGCCAGUGCUUUUCCAGAUACCUGCUCGCUGAAUCAGAGGUGGACCAGCUUUUAUGCGGUCUUUUGAACAAGCUGUGAUUCGUGGCGGCUAAAAAGCUGUGGCACUGAUAUUAAGCACUGGCCUUCCGUCUGGUAUGCGUACAACAGCUGUCUCCGUUAAAUCCAGUUGCACAGUUAUUUAGUGACAAGUUCUGUCUUGUGUCGGAAAGAAGAGCAAUGACACAGUUGUCACGGUCGUCCUGGAAAAGACAGCACCGGCGUCUGCUUAUAACACACCCGACGUGCCAUGACUGUGCAAAAUGGAGUGACCCGUCGUAUGCUGGCAAUCAUCGCCAUCUGCUUUAGCGACGACAAAGGUUACGUCAUCGUUGUGAUCUGUAACACUGACGAUACACCGUCUGAAGCUUCUGGGACGUGACAUCAUCACAGUUACUAAAACAAACACACCAGACGGUGCAUUGUGCCUUCGGCGAACUAUCGCUAUAAUACACGAGACCAAAUGCGAUCAAAGUGUGGUAGGACAGACUAGUCUGUAGUGAACUGAAGCAGCAGUCAACAUGGCGAACCGGAAAGCACCGGCCUCGGAAAAUGGCGACGAAGCGAAGGUGCAGCGGCUACUGGUGGCGCUAAGGGUGCGGCCCAUCCUGCCAUCAGAGGUCGACAAAGGAUUGACUUGCAUUGCUCACAAGAUCGACGACAAGACGGUGCUGCUGGUUGACCCGCAGAGCUCCGAGUCCAGCGACAAAAGCCGGAACGGGAGCAGUCAGCGAAAGGUGGUCAGUCACCGGUACACCUUCGACUGGACACUGGACGAGAGGAGCUCGCAGGAGGAAGUAUACCGGCAAGUUGGCAAGCCUCUGGUCGAGAACCUACUACAGGGUUUCAAUGGAGCAGUGUUCGCAUACGGAGCCACGGGCGCCGGCAAGACUUACACCAUGGUCGGCACCGACAAGAGCCCCGGUCUUAUGGUGCGGGUGUUCGACGACAUCUUCCAGUUCGCAAAGCAGAACGACGCCACGACGCGCACCAGCGUUCUCAUCUCGUACAUGGAGAUAUACAAUGAGAACAUCAGGGACCUGCUCAACACUUCCAACAACUACCUGGAGCUGCGGGAAGACCCCAUGGGUGGCAACCAAGUCCUGGGACUCUCCGAGGUGGAAGUCACCAACUCUUCAGAGGUCUUACGGCUUCUGCAGAAGGGUAACAAGCGGCGCACCGUGGAGCCGACGGCGGCCAAUCAGACGUCGUCGCGAUCUCACGCCCUCUUGCGGGUCUCCAUACGUCAGUCGAGCAAGGACGUCACCGACGCGGACACGACUCGGCACCGCGUCGGCAAGCUCUUCAUGGUCGACCUGGCCGGCUCCGAGCGCGCCUCCAACACCAAGAACACCGGCAUGCGGCUGAAGGAAGGAGCCCACAUCAACAAAUCACUCCUGGCACUAGGCAACGUGAUCAAUGCCCUUGCUACACGGAAUCCCAAGUACGUCAACUUCCGUGACAGCAAGCUGACCAGGCUGCUCAAGGAGGCGCUGUCCGGCAACUGCCGCACUGUCAUGGUGGCCCACAUAUCGCCCGCCUCGGCUCACUACGACGAGUCCCGCAAUACGCUCGUCUACGCCGAGAGGGCGCGCAACAUCACCAACAAGGUCCGCUGCAACCUGGUGGACGUGUCCCACCACGUGAAGCAGUACCAGAGCAUUAUCACUGAACUGCGACAGGAGAUUCAGAAGCUACAGGAUAGGAUAGAGAUGAACGACUCCGCGGCGUCCAGGGAGCCUCCGUCUCCUUCGGCAACCUCCCCGGACGACGCGUCGGCUGACAAUAAGAUGGCCGCCAACGGACACAACGACAACAGAUCGACGGAAGACGAAGAAGAGGCGUUGCGUCACAACGGGGCUAGCGACGAGAAUAAUGACGGCCGCCAUAACCACCACCACCAACACAGGGAAGAACAGAGGAGGGCCGACUCUGCCGCCAGGGAGCGCCACCUGCACAACGACAAGGCCGACGCCGACCGGGAGAUCCGCGAACUACGCGCGGAGCUCAUGGAGGCUUUCAACCGGCAGAUGGAAGUCAGACGCAAGAUGAUGGAGAUCGACAACUUCCUUCUCGCGCUCAGCACCGACCUUGAAAAGCUCAGCAUCGUCAUCAACCAAUGGGAGACGCAGAAGGCCAAGUACGAAGCAACAGAAGGCGAAGGUUCGCCAGAAGAGGAGCCCGGCUACAUCCGGCAAGCCUGGGAGGACAUCGAGUACAUCCAGGGAGAGCAGCAGAAAUUCCUUGCCAUGCGCGAGGACGUCGAAAAGGAGUUCGAAGAGGCCAGGGAACACACUUAUAGGCUCACAGAGAACUUGCCCAAUGUCGCCAGCUCAGAGGAGCAGCGUGAACUCCUCAGGCUACUCACUCAAGUCCACAAGCUCGAAGUCGAAAAGAUCGAGAUGCAAACUGACCAGUUGAUUAGGGAGCACGAGCUGAGGCAGCGAGACCUGAUGAUCGUGCGGUACGAUCGCCAGCGGUUGCUAUGCGACGAGAUCAUUGGCAAGCAGAAAGUGCUCAUUGACGAACUGUCUUCCGGCAUGCGGCGGCGAAAAGCUAGAAAUGCCCAAGCCACCAGGGAAUUGAAUGAACUGUAUCGCAUCUACCAGCAAGAAAUCCAAGACCUGAGCACGGGUCGGGACUCCGUCAUGAAACAUCUCAACGUUAACCCUUAUAGGCCCAACUCUGUCCUGGGACUCCGGCCUCUGGGCUCCAGCGAGAGCAUGUGGGACCUGACCCACAUGGAGCCGCUUCGAGAAGAAGACGAUCGGGCCGACACACAAGGCGUUCCCUUGUCCAGAGCGACAACGUGGCGGUCAGGAGACACGAGGCUGUACGCGCUCACCGAGACGCCAGGGGACGAGGAGGAGAAGGAGAAGGAGCAGGAGCGAGGUCGGUACGCAGCACCCGCCAUGGCCAGCACCACGGCAUCAACGGGAGCCGCAGCAGCAGCAGCGACAGCCUCUCGGAGCCGCCGCACACACCCGGAGGUCGUCUGCUGUCACAACUGCCUCCCGUGGAGUUGACAAACUACGUCAGCCACCGGAGCGACAUCGAGGAGAGCACGAGGCGCAUAUCGAGCCUGGCCGCCCAGAGGAGGUUCCUGCGCACGGCCGAGCACUCGCGUAGCGAGUGGAACGAAAGUACAUCACCGGGAACACCGCAGGUGCGUCGUUACGUGGGUUCCCAGGCAGGCUCCGUGCCGUCGUCGGUCCUGGCCAACGGCACGUCGUCUGCGCUGGAUCGGAGGCUUCUGCAUCCGGCCUAUCGAAGGGAAUCUCUCGAGUCUUUGCCACAGUUGCAAGACAACUACCACAGGACACAGAGGAAAAAAGAGCAAGAGUCGUGUAGCAUUCA